rnacentral:rRNA from 1 species
GGACCCGCACAAGCGGUGGAGCAUGUGGUUUAAUUCGAUGCAACGCGAAAAACCUUACCUACACUUGACAUACUUCGAAUUUUCUAGAGAUAGAUUAGUGCCUUCGGGAGCGAAGAUACAGGUGCUGCAUGGCUGUCGUCAGCUCGUGUCGUGAGAUGUUGGGUUAAGUCCUAUAACGAGCGCAACCCUUACCCUUAUUUGCCAGCGGUUAGGCCGGGAACUAUAAGGGAACUGCCGGUAAUAAGCCGGAGGAAGGUGGGGACGACGUCAAGUCAUCAUGGCCCUUACGUGUAGGGCUACACACGUGCUACAAUGGGAGAUACAGACGGUUGCUAAAGCGCGAGCUGGAGCCAAUCCGACAAAGUCUCUCGUAGUCCGAAUUGCAGUCUGGAACUCGACUGCAUGAAGCCGGAAUC